UACGGAGGGGGCUAGCGUUGUUCGGAAUUACUGGGCGUAAAGGGCGCGUAGGCGGCCUACUAAGUCGGACGUGAAAUCCCUCGGCUCAACCGGGGAACUGCGUCCGAUACUGGUGGGCUCGAAUCCGGGAGAGGGAUGUGGAAUUCCAGGUGUAGCGGUGAAAUGCGCAGAUAUCAGGAAGAACACCCGUGGCGAGGGCGGCUCUCUGGGACGGUACUGACGCUGAGACGCGAAAGCGUGGGGAGCGAACAGG
rnacentral:rRNA from 1 species